rnacentral:rRNA from 1 species
UACGUAGGGUGCGAGCGUUAAUCGGAAUUACUGGGCGUAAAGUGUGCGCAGGCGGCAGAGCAAGUCGAGUGUGAAAGCCCCGGGCUUAACUUGGGAAUUGCGCUCGAAACUACUUUGCUGGAGUGUGGCAGAGGAAGGUGGAAUUCCACGUGUAGCGGUGAAAUGCGUAGAGAUGUGGAGGAACACCUGCGGCGAAGGCGGGUUGCUGGGCUGACACUGACGCUGAUGCGCGAAAGCGUGGGGAGCAAACAGG